CAAGACGUAGCUUUAACAAAAGCAUUCAGCUUACACCUGAAAGAUAUCUGAUAGCGCCAGAUCGUCUUGA
rnacentral:tRNA from 4 species